rnacentral:snRNA from 1 species
AUACUUACUUGGCAGGGGAGACACCGUGAUCAUGAAGGUCAUUUUCCCAGGGUGAGGCUCAUCCAUUGCACUCUGGGUGUGCUUACCCCAGUGAGUUCCCCACAUGUGGGAAACUCGACUGUAUAAUUUGUGGUAGUGGUGGACUGCAUUCAUGCUUUCUCCUA